rnacentral:rRNA from 1 species
GGACGAACGCUGGCGGCGUGCUUAACACAUGCAAGUCGAACGGUGAAGCCCAGCUUGCUGGGUGGAUCAGUGGCGAACGGGUGAGUAACACGUGAGUAACCUGCCCCUGACUCUGGGAUAAGCCUUGGAAACGAGGUCUAAUACCGGAUAUGUGACGUUCAGGCAUCUGAUGCGUCUGGAAAGAUUUAUCGGUCAGGGAUGGACUCGCGGCCUAUCAGCUUGUUGGUGGGGUAACGGCCUACCAAGGCGACGACGGGUAGCCGGCCUGAGAGGGCGACCGGCCACACUGGGACUGAGACACGGCCCAGACUCCUACGGGAGGCAGCAGUGGGGAAUAUUGCACAAUGGGCGCAAGCCUGAUGCAGCGACGCCGCGUGAGGGAUGAAGGCCUUCGGGUUGUAAACCUCUUUCAGCAGGGAAGAAGCGCAAGUGACGGUACCUGCAGAAGAAGCGCCGGCUAACUACGUGCCAGCAGCCGCGGUAAUACGUAGGGCGCAAGCGUUGUCCGGAAUUAUUGGGCGUAAAGAGCUCGUAGGCGGUUUGUCGCGUCUGCUGUGAAAACUCGAGGCUCAACCUCGGGCUUGCAGUGGGUACGGGCAGACUAGAGUGCGGUAGGGGAGACUGGAAUUCCUGGUGUAGCGGUGGAAUGCGCAGAUAUCAGGAGGAACACCGAUGGCGAAGGCAGGUCUCUGGGCCGCAACUGACGCUGAGGAGCGAAAGCAUGGGGAGCGAACAGGAUUAGAUACCCUGGUAGUCCAUGCCGUAAACGUUGGGCACUAGGUGUGGGGCUCAUUCCACGAGUUCCGUGCCGCAGCAAACGCAUUAAGUGCCCCGCCUGGGGAGUACGGCCGCAAGGCUAAAACUCAAAGAAAUUGACGGGGGCCCGCACAAGCGGCGGAGCAUGCGGAUUA